GUUUAUUAUUGGUAAUAUCCAACACGGCCCAAGUUCACCAUAAACACGCGUGCACCUGUUGGUUGCGGGUGUCUCUGAAUGCUCCGCAAAUGCAAACCAGAUCUUGGCGUGGGUUCACCAAAACAACGUGCGGUGGGAACCUUACGGCUGUGGCUAAACGGGUGGUGUUCACCUCUGUCAGGCUGGAGGGUCGGGGUUAGGGCGAGGGUGAUGGGGUGGGGUGCCAGUGGGGAUUUGGGGUGUAGAGAACUUCUCAGCCGGGCAAGAGUUCAACCCCAUCACGGCAGGCCAAUCUGUUCCAGACAAGCUAAAUGACACAUUAUUGGAUCCAGACCUGACAUGGGCGCUGUGUAUAUUACAUUACCAGACAGCAAGCCCACUUCAGCUCAUUACCUCCGCCCACAGGGAGGAGAGCGCAACAGAAGAAGAAAGAAAGGCUCUCUUUUAGCCUCGUCUUUCUCUCUCUCUGCCGGGAAACUGUCAGAUAUUCCCGAGGCUGGUCUCUCGCGGAGCGAUUUCUCAGAACACCCAAGACGUUCCUGGCCCGGAGGGAUUUCUUCAUAAAGAUAUUAGAAACACAAGACGGGAUUCCUGUCCUCCUCUUCCUCGUCCCUCCCUCCCUGUGAAGAUGAAAAGGAGGGGAUGGGUUGACCAGGGCAGGGCGACGAGGGACCUGCCAGCAGCAUGUAGGAGGAUCUCUUUAAGCGAGUUCGCUUCACCUCCUCACCCAACUGAGCCAACUGUGAGAACUGCACCAGUGCAACAAUUUAGCCGCCGCUUUUUUCGGCACCACAUUAUUAUCCUUCAAGAUAGACAUUUAACCAAGAUGUGGGGCCACUGUGUGGUCAUUAAGACACCCACCGAGAACACACACACACACACACACACACACACACACACACACACACACACACACACACACACACACACACACACACACACUUACUUUAACCAAAACACUCCACACACAAUUGUUUACCACGAGAUCUGAAAGAGCUACAUGAAAUGACCUAUUUUAUUAUUAUUAUUAUUAUUAUUAUUAUUAUUAUUAUUAUUAUUAUUAUUAUUAUUAUUAUUAUUAUUCAGUAUUAAUGCAUGCAAAUAAACAUGCCAUAAAGACAUUCCCA
ensembl:lncRNA